AGUAAAAGUCGUAACAAGGUCUCCGUUGCUGAACCAGCGGAGGGAUCAUUACAGAGUUGCAAAACUCCCACAAACCAUCGCGAAUCUUACCCGUACGGUUGCCUCGGCGCUGGCGGUCCGGAAGGCCCUCGGGCCCCCGGAUCCUCGGGUCUCCCGCUCGCGGGAGGCUGCCCGCCGGAGUGCCGAAACCAAACUCUUGAUAUUUUAUGUUUCUCUGAGUAAACUUUUAAAUAAGUCAAAACUUUCAACAACGGAUCUCUUGGUUCUGGCAUCGAUGAAGAACGCAGCGAAAUGCGAUAAGUAAUGUGAAUUGCAGAAUUCAGUGAAUCAUCGAAUCUUUGAACGCACAUUGCGCUCGCCAGUAUUCUGGCGAGCAUGCCUGUUCGAGCGUCAUUUCAACCAUCAAGCUCUGCUUGCGUUGGGGAUCCGCGUCUGACGCGGUCCCUCAAAAACAGUGGCGGGCUCGCUAGUCACACCGAGCGUAGUAACUCUACAUCGCUAUGGUCGUGCGGCGGGUUCUUGCCGUAAAACCCCCUAUUUCUAAGGUUGACCUCGGAUCAGGUAGGAAUACCCGCUGAACUUAAGCAUAUCAAUA
rnacentral:rRNA from 1 species